UACGUAGGGGGCAAGCGUUGUCCGGAUUUACUGGGCGUAAAGCGCACGUAGGCGGGUCUUUAAGUCAGGGGUGAAAUCCCGGAGCUCAACUCCGGAACUGCCUUUGAUACUGGAGAUCUUGAGUCCGGGAGAGGUGAGUGGAACUCCGAGUGUAGAGGUGAAAUUCGUAGAUAUUCGGAAGAACACCAGUGGCGAAGGCGGCUCACUGGCCCGGUACUGACGCUG
rnacentral:rRNA from 1 species